rnacentral:rRNA from 1 species
GACGAACGCUGGCGGCGUGCUUAACACAUGCAAGUCGAACGGUAAGGCCCUUCGGGGUACACGAGUGGCGAACGGGUGAGUAACACGUGGGUGAUCUGCCCUGCACUUUGGGAUAAGCCUGGGAAACUGGGUCUAAUACCGAAUAGGACCAUGGACUUCACGGUUUGUGGUGGAAAGCUUUUGCGGUGUGGGAUGGGCCCGCGGCCUAUCAGCUUGUUGGUGGGGUAAUGGCCUACCAAGGCGACGACGGGUAGCCGGCCUGAGAGGGUGACCGGCCACACUGGGACUGAGAUACGGCCCAGACUCCUACGGGAGGCAGCAGUGGGGAAUAUUGCACAAUGGGCGCAAGCCUGAUGCAGCGACGCCGCGUGAGGG